rnacentral:ncRNA from 1 species
CUGCCAGUAGUCAUAUGGUUGUCUCAAAGAUUAAGCCAUGCAAGUCUAAGUACGAGCUCUCGUACAGUGAAACUGCGAAUGGCUCAUUAAAUCAGUUAUGGUUCAUUUGAUCGUACAGUUUACUUGGAUAACUGUGGUAAUUCUAGAGCUAAUACAUGCGAGAAGCGCCGACCUCGCGGGAGGCGUGCAUUUAUCAGACCAAAAACCGGCCGCGUCUUCGGGCGCGUUCGCCUUGGUGACUCUGGAUAACUUUGCGGAUCGCACGGUCUAGCACCGGCGACGGAUCAUUCAAGUGUCUGCCCUAUCAACUUUCGUCGGUACGGUAUUUGCCUACCGAGGUUCUUACGGGUGACGGGGAAUCAGGGUUCGAUUCCGGAGAGGGAGCCUGAGAAACGGCUACCACAUCCAAGGAAGGCAGCAGGCGCGCAAAUUACCCAUUCCCGACGCGGGGAGGUAGUGACGAAAAAUAACAAUGCAGGACUCGUUCGAGGCCCUGUAAUUGGAAUGAGUACACUUUAAAAGCUUUAACGAGUAUCCAUUGGAGGGCAAGUCUGGUGCCAGCAGCCGCGGUAAUUCCAGCUCCAAAAGUAUAUAUUUAAGUUGUUGCGGUUAAAAAGCUCGUAGUUGGAUUUUGGGCGCAGGCGGCCGGUCCGUCGCAAGGCGUGUACUGGACGUCCUGGCCUUCCCUCCGGUUCUCCGCCGGUGCUCUUGACUGAGUGUCGGCGGCGGCCGGAACGUUUACUUUUGAAAAAUUAGAGUGUUCAAAGCAGGCUCUCGAGCCUGGA